ACUGUAGCUCAGGUGGUUAGAGCGUUCGACUGAUAAUCGAGAGGUCCCAGGUUCGAGUCCUGGCAGUC
rnacentral:tRNA from 1 species